UACGUAGGGGGCAAGCGUUGUCCGGAUUUAUUGGGCGUAAAGAGCUCGUAGGUGGUUCGGUAAGUCGGAUGUGAAAUCUCCAGGCUCAACCUGGAGGGGUCAUUCGAUACUGCCGUGACUAGAGUUCGGUAGGGGAGUGUGGAAUUCCUGGUGGAGCGGUGAAAUGCGCAGAUAUCAGGAGGAACACCCGUAGCGAAGGCGGCACUCUGGGCCGAUACCGACACUGAGGAGCGAAAGCGUGGGGAGCGAACAGG
rnacentral:rRNA from 1 species